AUCGUAACUCCUACGGGAGGCAGCAGUGGGGAAUUUUGGGCAAUGGGGGCAACCCUGAUCCAGCAAUGCCGCGUGAGUGAAGAAGGCCUUCGGGUUGUAAAGCUUUUUUGCCAGGGAAGAAACGGUAGUAGCUUAUAUCUAUUACUAAUGACGGUACCUGAAGAGUAGGCACCGCCUAACUACAUGCCAGCAGCCGCGGUAAUACGUAGGGUGCAAGCGUUAAUCGGAAUUACUGGGCGUAAAGCGAGCGCAGGCGGUUGUGUAAGUCAGAUGUGAAAUCCCCGGGCUCAACCUGGGAAUUGCAUUUGAGACUGCACGGCUAGAGUGUGUGAGAGGGGAGUAGAAUUCCGCGUGUAGCAGUGAAAUGCGUAGAUAUGUGGAGGAAUACCGAUGGCGAAGGCAGCCCCCUGGGGUAAAACUGACGCUCAUGCACGAAAGCGUGGGGAGCAAACAGGAUUAGAAACCCCGGUAGUCCUAGAGC
rnacentral:rRNA from 1 species